rnacentral:rRNA from 1 species
AGCAGCCGCGGUAAUUCCAGCUCCAAUAGCGUAUAUUAAAGUUGUUGCAGUUAAAAAGCUCGUAGUUGAACUUCGGGGUUUACCCAUUGGUCAGGCUUAAUUGUCUGCACUGGUGAGAUGAAUCUCUACCUUCUGAGGAACUUUCAUGCCAUUUAUUUGGUGUGAUGGGAAAUCAGGACUGUUACUUUGAAAAAAUUAGAGUGUUUAAAGCAGGCUAACGUCUGAAUACAUUAGCAUGGAAUAAUGAAAUAGGACGGACUGAUUCUAUUUCGUUGGUUUCUAGGAUCACCGUAAUGAUUAAUAGGGACAGUUGGGGGCAUUAGUAUUCAAUUGUCAGAGGUGAAAUUCUUGGGUUUAUUGAAGACUAACUACUGCGAAAGCAUUUGCCAAGGAUGUUUUCAUUAAUCAAGAACGAAAGUUAGGGGAUCGAAGACGAUCAGAUACCGUCGUAGUCUUAACCAUAAACUAUGCCGACUAGGGAUCGGACGAAGUUAAUUUUAUAAUGACGCGUUCGUCACCUUACG